CGGGGCGUAGCGCAGCUCGGUAGCGCGCGUCGUUCGGGUCGACGAGGUCGGAGGUUCGAAUCCUCUCGCCCCGA
rnacentral:tRNA from 1 species